GCUGAAGCUAGCUACAGACCCUCAGGGCUCAGCUGGGAGGGAUUUAUUGGAGAAUUUCAAUCAUGGGGUCUUGGCUCAAACUUGUUGCUUCCCUCAAAAAAUCUGCCCAGAAGUUUGAUUACAUGUGGGAUUGGGGCACGAGGGGCCAGUCUGAUGAUCUCACAAUUCAGAAUUCCACCUGGGCCUCUGGGAGCAUUGCAGCCCUGAGAGGAAGAGAACAGGACACAGAAACAGCCAGCAAGAUGCAGGUUCUGACAUGAUGUAGAGUGGAAAUCUUGGACGCCUAAUGACAUAUUUCUACCCAGGAAGAAUUUUGAAUUCCGAAGGCACACUUGAUUAAAACCCCAAACCCUGAGCAGUUGCCUAUGGAACCACCCGACACUUUGAGUUCUGGGUGUCAGCGCUUAAUUAAAAUAUUCACCCAGCUGCUCUUCCCUUGCCAAGGGGACCCAAAGGAAUUAAACCAAUAAGCUUAAUUCCGUUAGGUCACCUGCCUGUGUAUACAGAGACGUGGAAGACCAUUUACCAGUUCAGAAAUAAAGUGUCAGACCCACCCAGCAAACCCAGCGUGGGCCACACAGUGAACCAGUCCCCCAGAUGGACAGCAUCACCCUCUGCCAUCUCCGUUUCCAACUUGGAACACACGCAGCUAUUUUUAAGGUCUCUUCCAGUACGACCAAAGUGACACACUAGUCAAUACAAGGAUUACUAUGCC
rnacentral:lncRNA from 1 species